rnacentral:rRNA from 1 species
GACGAACGCUGGCAGCGUGCUUAACACAUGCAAGUCGAACGGUGAUGCUCCAGCUUGCUGGAGUGGAUCAGUGGCGAACGGGUGAGUAACACGUGAGCAACCUGCCCCAGACUCUGGAAUAAGCGCUGGAAACGGCGUCUAAUACUGGAUACGAAACUGGCCCGCAUGGGCAUGGUUUGGAAAGUUUUUCGGUUUGGGAUGGGCUCGCGGCCUAUCAGCUUGUUGGUGAGGUAAUGGCUCACCAAGGCGACGACGGGUAGCCGGCCUGAGAGGGCGACCGGCCACACUGGGACUGAGACACGGCCCAGACUCCUACGGGAGGCAGCAGUGGGGAAUAUUGCACAAUGGGCGAAAGCCUGAUGCAGCGACGCCGCGUGAGGGAUGACGGCCUUCGGGUUGUAAACCUCUUUCAGCAGGGAAGAAGCGAAAGUGACGGUACCUGCAGAAGAAGCACCGGCUAACUACGUG